UUUUAGCAGAUGGGGUUAGUUAUAUAUAACCUGACAAUUUUUUUUAAAAAUUUCUGUCCAGAAAGAGGAAAUCAGCUGGAAAAGGAAAAAUCACAUCAUUGAAAUUUUAAACUAAUAUUAAAAUUUAUUGAAAUAUCAUGCUUUUUUUCUCCUAGAAAACAACAGCAGCACACAGUAAUUGCAUGAAAUAGUACAAUUCUUUUCACCAAUUCAUUAAAAGUUACCUGGCAAAGGGAUUCCUAGAUAAGUGAUAAAUCAUUUGGGUCUAUUAAUCUACUACAGUGUAAUGUAUAUUGCUUGUCUCACUACAGGAGAUUAUCUCAUGCAGACUGAUAAGAUCUGGCACAUGCUUUAUAUUUAGAAACUCAUAACAAGAGAUCAACCAAUGAAAAUAAAGUCAGGGAACUACUUCUGGGGGCUGUACAUGUACCACAAAAAGUAAUCCAUAGUUUUUUUCUGUUUUAUAUCAGAGUAAUCUUCAAAAUUUAUGAGUAUGUGAUUGAAUGGAAUAAAAUCUUCCUCUAGUACAAAAAUAUUUUAACAUCAUAGAUGUAUCAUUACCUUCAUUAGCUGACUGUAAAUGGCACAUUUGCCCAAGAAUAUCAAAAUUUCAAAUCUACACAGGAAGUUCUUUGACAGAGAGCUGAAUAGAGUAAAUAUUUGGGAGAGUGUUUCCCUAAAUAUUUUACUAUGUGCAGCUUAUUUCAUCUUGGAAGUUAACAAUAAUUAACAGAAUGCACCAGGUAUAGCAUCAUAAGUGUAUAUAAAGUAUCAGCACACAUGAAUGAAUUGAGACAUGUUUAGUGAUCCAAUGUAUUGUGUUCAAAGGCUCCAUCCAACAUUUCAAAGACAUGUCAUAGCAGUGGAGCAAAUGGUGGCAAAUGAUGGCUUUGUGGUGGUUAGUGAAAAACUGUGGCAAUCUACAUUGGUGGUGGCAAACACUGACAGAAAAUUUCUGGACCAGCAGUGACAUUAAGUUGAAAAUAAUGACAUAUUUUACACUGUACUGAAGAUGUAAUUGCGAAAAUUACUCAAAAAAUAAUAUAUCUCAUUCAGUGAUUUGUUGCUGAAUGAAUCCUUGUUUGGAGUUCAGAUGCGAAGGAAUUGUAUCAUGAGAGCGCAACAUUACUGAAAGGAUUUUCUUCAAACUUUCACACGUGAACAAUCUUGACUGGUAGAUACAACUACAAUUACAUUGCAUUCAAAAUCAGUGGCACAGAAACUGAUUCUUGUUGGCCUGCGUUACUUAAGUAAAGGUGAUUUUUUUAUCAGAGACUGCAGAUAUUCAUGGCAUAAGCAAAGCUGGCGCAGCAGUUGCAGUUGAUGAAUUCGUAACUGCUCUGAACAGACGUGUGGAUAACAUAAGAUUCCCUUUGGAUGGACAAGAUCUGGGCAGUGUGAAACUGAAAUUCUUUCGGAAAUGUGGUUUGCCGAAUGUAGUUGGUGCCAUUGACGGUAUGUUUAGUGCCUAUCAUUUCACCGGUUAUGCACCCCGACAUCUUUAUGUGUAGGAAGGGCUACUAUGCACUCAAUGUCCAGGCGGUGGUGGACAGUGAUAUGAG